GCCCGGAUGGUGAAAUUGGUAGACACAAGGGACUUAAAAUCCCUCGGCCUUCGGCCGUGCGGGUUCGAUUCCCGCUCCGGGCACCA
rnacentral:tRNA from 1 species